GUUUGCACUUGUCGGGGAAGGGUGAGAACCUUCGAUUAAGGUUCGACUCGAGCGAAAGAACGUUGCCAACGGUAACGGCCCGUAGGGUGAGGAGUGAAGCGACGAAUAAU
rnacentral:sRNA from 1 species